UUGUUCACUUAAGCAACACACAUACUAAAAUUUCAAAAACAUAGAGAACAUUAUGUAUGACCCCUGCAUAAAGAUGACAGGCAAAUUCAGGAAGUAUCCCAUAUUUUC